rnacentral:rRNA from 1 species
UGGCCUCAAAUCAGGUAGGACUACCCGCUGAACUUAAGCAUAUCAAUAAGCGGAGGAAAAGAAACUAACAAGGAUUCCCCUAGUAACUGCGAGUGAAGAGGGAAAAGCUCAAAUUUAAAAUCUGGCAGCUUCGCGUCCGAG